GACGAACGCUGGCGGCGUGCUUAACACAUGCAAGUCGAACGGAAAGGCCCUGCUUUUGUGGGGUGCUCGAGUGGCGAACGGGUGAGUAACACGUGAGUAACCUGCCCUUGACUUUGGGAUAACUUCAGGAAACUGGGGCUAAUACCGGAUAGGAGCUCCUGCUGCAUGGUGGGGGUUGGAAAGUUUCGGCGGUUGGGGAUGGACUCGCGGCUUAUCAGCUUGUUGGUGGGGUAGUGGCUUACCAAGGCUUUGACGGGUAGCCGGCCUGAGAGGGUGACCGGCCACAUUGGGACUGAGAUACGGCCCAGACUCCUACGGGAGGCAGCAGUGGGGAAUAUUGCACAAUGGGCGGAAACCUGAUGCAGCAACGCCGCGUGCGGGAUAACGGCCUUCGGGUUGUAAACCGCUUUCGCCUGUGACGAAGCGUGAGUGACGGUAAUGUGUAAAGAAGCACCGGCUAACUACGUG
rnacentral:rRNA from 1 species